UACAGAGGUCUCAAGCGUUGUUCGGAUUCAUUGGGCGUAAAGGGUGCGUAGGCGGCGCGGUAAGUCGGGUGUGAAAUCUUGGAGCUUAACUCCGAAACUGCAUUCGAUACUGCCGUGCUUGAGGACUGGAGAGGAGACUGGAAUUUUACGGUGUAGCGGUGAAAUGCGUAGAUAUCGUAAGGAAGACCAGUGGCGAAGGCGGGUCUCUGGACAGUUUUCCUGACGCUGAGGCACGAAGGCCAGGGGAGCAAACGGG
rnacentral:rRNA from 1 species